rnacentral:rRNA from 1 species
UUCUGGUUGAUCCUGCCGGAGGUCACUGCUAUUGGGAUUCGCCUAAGCCAUGCGAGUCGAGAGGGUUCGGCCCUCGGCUGACGGCUCAGUAACACGUGGAUAAUCUGCCCUUAGGUGGAGGAUAACCUCGGGAAACUGAGAAUAAUACUCCAUAGGUCUAGGAUGCUGGAAUGCACUUAGGCUGAAAGCCCCGACGCCUAAGGAUGAGUCUGCGGACUAUCAGGUUGUAGUCAGGGUAAUGACCUGACUAGCCUACGACGGAUACGGGUUGUGAGAGCAAUAACCCGGAGAUGAUAUCUGAGACACGAUAUCAGGCCCUACGGGGCGCAGCAGGCGCGAAAACUUCACACUGUGCGAAAGCACGAUGAGGGAAUCCCAAGUGCUUGCUCGCAAGAGUAAGCUGUUUCUAUGUUUAAAAUGCAUAGAGAGUAAGGGCUGGGUAAGACGGGUGCCAGCCGCCGCGGUAA